UACGUAGGGGGCUAGCGUUGUCCGGAAUCAUUGGGCGUAAAGCGCGCGUAGGCGGCCCUGUUAGUCCGCUGUAAAAGUCAAAGGCUCAACCUUUGAAUGCCGGUGGAUACUGCAGGGCUAGAGUCCGGAAGAGGCGAGUGGAAUUCCUGGUGUAGCGGUGGAAUGCGCAGAUAUCAGGAGGAACACCAACGGCGAAGGCGGCUCUCUGGGUCGGCCCUGACGCUGAGGCGCGAAAGCGUGGGGAGCGAACGGG
rnacentral:rRNA from 1 species